CAUACAUACAUACAUAUAUAUAUAUAGAUGAGAUUUUCUGUAAAGGGUGGUUGCCCGUCUCUGCCAUGUCCAUGAUUUCUUUUCUCCAUUCAUUAAAAGAACCAACAGCCCUUUGAGAAAAAGAAAAAGAUCCAAGAAAAUGAAAAAGAAACCAUGUACGCGUUUGGCCACGGCUUCCAAUCUGCUUCUGCUACUACUACAUCUGAUUUUCGCAUAUAUCCACUUUUUAAGAGUUCUGAACGUAAAUGACAUGAAAAAAUGGGCUGUGAUGAUGAUUUGCUUCUUUCUGGGCUCAUAAUCUACUUUACUCAUUGCAUUGAGAAGAUCCGACCCCUAUCUUGGCGGGGCGACCCGGUACGGCAUCCGUUUGCAAAUCGGUGUCUGCAGCCAUGGCGGGUGUCGCUUUCUCUUCGCAUGUUUGUAGAACAGCAAAAUCUGAGCCCUAAAAGUUUUUACUGGAACACUCAAUUGGGUUCUUCAGUUUCAAAUUUUAGCUCAAAGUUGAGGUAAUCGGAGAAAAAAGAGGAUUUUUCAGGGUGGUUGACUAUCUUCGGUAUGCCUAUGAUUUCUUUUUUGCUCUAAUCAACGCCCUUUUAGCUCAAAAAAUGAAAAAGGGACUAUAUAUGCUCUUCCUUUUUCUGAUUUUGCAUACUACUACAGCUGCUUUUCGCAAACAGCCAUUUUUAUGUCCCUGUAAAAUACAAGGUAGAAAUGGCACAAUAAGGUAGCUGCUUUUUUAAAAGUUCUGAACCUAUGUGUUCUAUUGGUGUUGAUUGAUCUGAAAAAUGGGCUAAGAAUCAUGGUUUGCUUUUUCUGGGCUAUAAUCUACUGCACUACUUGAUGAAAUGAACGAAUUGUCCUUCAAAUGGCUGGUCUUUUUAAUUUUUGCCCAUCAAAUGGACUGCUCUUUAACACUGCUUUCAGAAAAUCCGACCCGUAUCUUGGCGGGGCGACCCGGUACGGCAUCCAUCUGCAGAUUGGUGUCUGCAGCCAUGGCGUAUGUUGCUUUCUCUUUGCAUGUUCAUCUACAGCAAAAUCUGAGCCCUAAAGUGUUUCAUUGAUGUUGAUUGAUCUGAAGAAUGGGCUAUGAACUAUGAUGAUGAUUUGCUUUUUCUGGCCUAUACUGCACUGCUUGAAGAAAUUGCACGAAUUGUCCUUCAAAUGGCUGGUCUUUUAAUUUUUGCCCUUCAAAUAGGAUGGUCUUUAACACUGCUUUCAGAAAAUCCGACCAGGUUCUUGGCAGGGCGACCCGGUACGGCAUCUAUUUGCAAUCCGGUGUCUGCAGCCAUGGCGUGUGUCGCUUUCUCUUUGCAUGUUUGUAGAAUAGCAAAAACUGAGCCCUCAAAGUUUUAGACAAAAAAUGAGGCAAUCGGAGAAAAAUGGGAUUUAUUUAGGGUGGUUGACCAUCACCGGCAAAGCAGCAGCAAAAGCAUAGAGAAAUUAGGUUCAGCCAGUACGAAGAAUGGAAAAGGGCCAAACAUACCCCUCUACUAUGAAGAAUGAGGCCAGCAGAGUGAAAAAGGGAAUUCUUGGAGGGUGGUAUGCCCCUCUAUUUGGCCUAUGAUUUCCCCAUAAACAAAAUUAACAACCAUCUUCGGAAGUACUAGUAUGUUUUCUUGUUUUACCUGAGCUUAGCAAACAUACUCUGAUCUUAUCUUAUGUACGUUAAAAAUUGCUCGAAAUUGUGUCCAAACACUGAAACACCUAAUUGUGGGAAAGUUUCCAUCUUUCAAAAGAGGCUGUAAUGAUAAUGCUUAUGGCAGAAACCUCACCAUAGUUUAGCCCAGAAAGUAAGAAUGAGACAUCAGAGAGAGAUGGGAUUUUUUGUAAAGGGUGUUGCCCUUUUCUGCCAUGUCCAUGAUUUCUUCUCCAUUCAUGAAAAUCAACAAUCCUCUGAGAACAGAAAAACAAGAAAAGGAAAAUGACAAUUGAUAAACCAUCUCAACAAUACCCCAUGAGUAUUCCUCUGUAAAAAGAGGCCAUGCUCUUCCCUUCUCUGCUUCUGCUGCAACCACUGCUAUCUAUGAUAAACAGCAGCCCAAAAAGUAGAUAUGUGGUGUCAUUUCUACGUUGAUCGCCGCAGAUCACCUGAAAAGGGGCAGUGAUGAUGAUUGCUUCUUUCUGUGCUAUUAGUUUACUGAUUUGAGAAAUCUGACCCGUAAUCCUGGCGAGGCAAUCCGGUAGCAAAAUAAGUUCAAUGAGGCAGUGAUGAUUUUCAUUCUUUACGCAUCAGAUGGUUGAGCUUUGCUAUAUCUUGGCGUGGCAUCUUUUUGGAGUCUUUUGAGAUAUGGGAGCUAUUUAGGUUUCUGUGUCUCACAAAGGCUUCUUAAGCUUGCAGCCAUUAGUGGUGUUUAGCUUAUGUAUGAGAGAAUGUUAAUCUUUGUGUCCUAGGAAUGAGGCUUUUUAUGGAACUCGAGAAAGGUUGAGAUUUUCUAAGGGUGGUUAUUCUCUUUCUCUGUAGUUCAAAUUUGCCAAUGAAUUUCCCUAUACCUUUGUUACACAGAAAGAUUUAGAGCCCUUUUGUCAACAAAAAUGCCAAUUAUGGUGAUGACGAGGAUGAUAGCCAUGUUUAUGGUGGUAAUAAGGAAUAGGCCACAUACAUAGAUACCUCUUAAACCUCCCUUAAACUUGGCGCAAUUUGUCUGCUUGCCUCUUAAACUUGUCUGGAGAAAUCCUUUGUACUUGGAUCCUAACCCCUAAACUUGGGAAAUGAGGAUAUGGUGAUAUUCUCCAGGAAGUUUAAAGUUAAAACUUUUGAGUGCUAGGCAAAGGCAGGGGAAUUUGUGAGGUCGGUUCUUAUGUGCUCUCUCACAAAGGUGUCUGCUUCUUGCAGCCAUGGCAGAUUAGCCAUUCUUCUGACAGAUUUUAAAGGCAAAUCUGAGCCUCUUUUGUGUUCAAAGAAUGAGGCUUUCUAUAGAACUCGAGAAAGGUUGGGAUUUCCUGAGGGUGGUUACUCUCUUUCUCUGAAGUUCAAUUUAGCCAAUGAAUUUUCCUAUGCUUUUGUUUUAAAGAGAUUUUAACAGCCCUUUCAUCAAAUUGACGAUUAUGAUCUUGAGGGUGAUGAUGUUGUUGUAUGGUGAUGAUGAUGAUGAUAGCCAUGGUUAUGGAGGAAAAUACAUAUUCUUACCCCCUAAACUUUUCCGGUAAACCCAAAUUUCAUGUUCUUUCUUCUGUUUUUGAAGAAUCCCAAUUUCAGAAGAAUUAUUUUAUGUAUUCAUCUCCACAUUUUCCUAGAGAGAGAUUAUUAGGUACUGAUAUGAAACAAGCCCAAAGCUUUUAUGUAUUGUGGACUCAUAUACUGUCUGAGGCUAAUUGUUACGUUGCUUAAUUUAUCUUACACAUUUUUUAUCUAUUGUGGACACAAGUCAGGAGCUUUUAUGUAUUGUGGACUCAUAUGGCCAUUUUAGACCAUUUCCAAGCCCAUUCUGUGUAAUUUCCUGAAUUUUAGGACCCUUGUUUAAAGAAUAGCCCAGUAUGAAGAAUGAGGCUAACAGGGAGGAAAAAGGAACUCUUUGGAGGGUGGUUGCCCUCUCUGAUUGGCCUAUGAUUUCUCCCACCGACCAAACCAACAACCCUCCAAUGGUGUGCCCCCCCAACCCAAAACCAACCAACAGAAAAAAAAGAAAAAAACUGUUGUCAUUGAUGAAAUGUUGAUAGCAGCAUACUAAUACUCCCUCCGCCUCAAUUUACUUGUCUUGAAAACUGUCCACAAAUGCAAAAAGUUACCAUCUUUCUAAUGAGGCAGUGAUGAUAUUGCUUACUCUGGGCUGAAAUUCGGGGCAUGGAGAAAACCCGGCUGGUAUUUUGGCGGGGCAAACCCGGAUCACGCGAUCGGUUCGUUUUGCAGCCAUGGCAUUGUCGUCUUCUCUUUUGACCCAUUUUAACUCAGAUCUGAGCCUCAACUUCCAGGAUCCGAAUUUGAUGGAAGCCCCUUUUUUCACUUUAGCUCAAAAGGAUGAGGCAAUCGGAGAAAAUUUGGGGAUUUUUUCAGGGCGGUUGACCAUCUUCGGUAUGUCAAUGAUUUCUUCUCUGCUCUAAUAUAUCCCUUUUAACUUGGAUCAUUUUCACUUAAUGCCCCUAGUUUUGCUGGUCUUUAGGGUCUGUUUGGAAAGCCACCUGGUAAUUGGAAUUGGUGUAGUUACUAGUGUAGUAAUUUCACAAUAUAGUAAUUACUAAUUUUUGUCCCGAAUUUGAAGGGCAAAUCGUGCAAUUUAUUCUUUUAGCUUUUGUAUGUGAAUGAAGUGCACAAAUAGCCUAUUUUAGACCAUUUCAAGGGCAUUGUGUGUAAUUUCCUGGACUUUUAGGGACUUACCCUUUACAGAGUAAUGGAAGCUCAGCCCAGUACGAAGAAUGAGGCCAACAGGGGAAAAUGGUAAUUUAUUUGGAGGGUGGUUGCUCUCUCUGAUUGGCCUAUGAUUUCUCCUUUAACCAAAACAACAACCCUUUGCAAAACUUGAAACAAGAAACAACAUUUGUUACGCUCACAGAUCUGAAGGUCUCAUUUGUUUUAUUAAUUUUUCUUGUUAAAGUGGUCCAAACAGGCUCUUAUGGUAAAGAAGUUUCAAUUUUUUCGAAACAGGCAGUGAUGAUAUUGCUAAUAUGGGCUGACCAUCGGGGCAUGGAGAAAACCCGACUUGUAUCUUGGUAUUAUGCAACCGAUUUGUUUUGCAGCCAUGGCGUUGGCGUCUUCUGUUUUGGCCCAUUUUACACAGAUCUGAGCUUCAACUUCCAAUGAGUCACUGUGAACUUUUCUGGAUUCGAACCAGAACCUUUUUAGAUGGAAACACUGUUCAUUUUGGCUCGAAAGGAUGAGGCAAUUGGAGAAAAAUGUGGAUUUUUCAGGGUGGUUGACCAUCUCCGGUAUGUCAAUGAUCUAAUCAAAGUCCUUUUAGCAUUUGUAUGUGGGCAAAAGUGCACAGAUAACCGCUAUUUAACGAAUAGCAGAAGUUCAGCCCAGUAUGAAGAAUGAAGCCAACAGGGAGAAAAAGGGAUUUCUUGGAGGGUGGUUCCCCCCUCUGCUUGGCCUGUGAUUUAUUUUCUCCAUCAACCAAGCCAACAACCCUCUGCAAAAGUGGAAACAAGAAAAUUAUUUCUUGCCCUCAUCUUCAAUUGUGACGCUGUGAUGCUGAUAACAAUAGUACCUUUCAAUGUUCUUAUAUUUCUGAGCUAGCUUAGACCAAAUGUUUUUGGUCCGUAACAUCAACAGAUCUGAAGGUUUCAUUUGUUUUAAGAUUUUUUUUUUGUUGAAGUUGUCCAAACAGGCUAUUAUGGGGAGGUUCCAAUUUUUUCGAAAGAGGCGAUGAUGAUAUUAUUAAUCUGGAUUGAUGUUUGGGUCAUAGAGACAAUUGAACCCGUUUCUUGGCAUGGCAAACCUGAAUGGUUUGUGAUAGAGUGUUCUUUUUCACAUUUUUAACUGGUUCUUUUGCAGUCAUGAUAUUGUCCCCGUCUCUUUUCUCCAUUUUUUCCACAGAUCUGAGCCUCAAU